ensembl:lncRNA ZMIZ1-AS1 ZMIZ1 antisense RNA 1
CUUGUCACUUACAUGCUCCAAGAGGUCUCAGAACUAGGGGACUUCCUCCCCUCCCUCCUCCUUGUCUGGAGCUGGCAUUAGGCCCCACAUCUUCCAGACCCAAGAAGGGCAUUUACUCCAGGAGAUGGCUGGGCAGACCCUCAGUAGGUAUUCCACGAAAGUGUUCAUGGCUUAAACCCAACACUUGAUUUCUCCCUGAGCCAGUCUCUGUGAAUGUCCUCACCAUCGUCCUGUGUCACUCCUGGCCUCCUGCUAACAACCAAAUCUAUUGACUCUCCAGAUCCCCAAUGUCUCCAUGUCACACUACUUCCAUUGCCACCAUUCCUGUCUGUAUCCUUGUCUUAGGUCCACCAGAUGACCGGCUGGCCUCCUAAUUGGGCUUCCUGCAUUCCUGCCUGUGCUCGGAGCUCCCUUCUCCACUUGCCUGCUGGAGGAGGUUUACAAACAAAAUCAGAUCAUGGCACUCCCCUGGGGCCCUGCAUCCUGUGGCCAGCAGGUAGGGCUUCUGCGACCUGGCCCUGGCCACCUUUGGCCUCCCGUCCUCCCAUUCCUUCCAGGCCCCACUGUGCCUUGGUGUCCCUGCCCUCCUUUCUCCUCCCCAACUUCACCCACCAGUUCCCAUCUCCCUUCCUUUGCAGGGUGUUUCUGCUGCUGGAAUUCUUUGCCCCUGGGUCUCCGUGUGGUUAGCUCCCUUUCACCACGCUCAGUCAAGGUCUAAUAUUGUCCCCCCACCACCUCCUGCAUUCACUCUCCGUCCCAUUACCCUGUUUUACUUUCUUCAGAGCACUACGUUGUUUUGUUGUCCUCUCCACUACCCUAAAUAGAAUGUAAGCUCCAAGAUGCGAGGGCAUUUCCUGUCCCAUACAUUCUGCAUCCCAGAGCCUGGGCUGGAGCUGAGAAGGUGCUCAAGGAAUGUUUGUCGCAUGAGCCAAUUUCAUAGUGCUCCAGGCUCCCAGGUGGAAAGGUCCUUGGUCUUUUCUUUACCAGGUCUUGGAAACGCCCCUGUACCCCAGAAACUUCCUGAUCAGUCCCUGGUCAGUGUAUAUCAUGCUUCCUGUGACAUGACAUCAACUUUUCAGUGACUUCCACUGGUUUUGGCCCAGCUCGAAGAGCCUGACACCUCUGCAGGGAAUUCUACCAGGGAGAAGAGAAAGUAGUCACUGCUUCCAGUUUUUUUAAGGAGUUGGCCAAGAGCCAGCACCAGGCAUCAGAGGAAGGCAGCUGACUGCACUCGGCCACAUCCCAAAAGUGCCUGGAAGGGGAGGGAGGAAGCAGGCGCUUCAGAAGGCACUACUGUGUGUCAGGACUCAUGCUAGGAACGCUGUAACAGGGAGCAGUGAUGGAGUCCUUGAGGGAGCUCAGGAGGGGGAAUUGCACUGAAGAUUUGUCCCAUCGUGAAGCAAGAGCACUGGAACUUACACUCCACCAUCAGGCCCUGUCACAGGAGAACAAAGAAGGAAGGCAGAGGAGAUCAUGCUCCGGCCAGCAGGGAAUCUCCAUUUUUUUCAGCCUCAUACCUUGGAAAGUACAAAGGAGUGAGAGCUGGGACUACCAGCCAGAGGGUUCAUGGAGGUAGUGGGAGGGGAAGAUGGGUUCUGCAUGGAGCCACUCCAGGGACUUUUCUUCUGUCUCACAGCCUGACAAUCACCUCUAGCUGUUCUCAGUCCCAUUCUCAUCAAUGACCUCGUCUCCUGAUUUUGUACAAUAUCUAGGUGACCUUCUCUUCUUUCCAUCUUCAAACGCUUGAUCAUUGAUGCUCCCUUUUCUCUUCUCUCUCCUCCUGGGAAAAGAGAAGGACCAACAUCCCCCUUUCCCUUCCUCCUGUGCUGUCCCGACCCCUCUGAGACCUGGCUCUAGCAGUAAGUCCCUCUCUCUUCUGCAGCACCAGCCUCUGCCCAUCCCUGCCCUCUGCACACAAAGCUCUCACAUUGUCUGCACUUUAAGAACUUUUGUGGCAAACCCUGGCAAAUCCUGCCACUUGUUUCCACUCUUCUCAAAUGGCUUUGAGGUCAUCAUUGACCUAUCCCAUUUGACCCUGUCCUGUAUCUGAUGUUGUACCCUUUCUCCUUGAUCCCACUCUGGCAACUCUCCCACUCCCCUUUCUUGGAUCAACUGUCUUGCUCCUCAGUCUUGAUCAAUGCCUCCUUCUCUCUCUUUAGCCUUGGCCCUUUUUGGCCAGGGAAAUAAAUGUGAAAUACAUAAAGCUUCAUUUUAUCUUAUGAUUAUAGCUAUGUUGAUGUUACCCAAGACCUAAAAGUCACACUCUCUAAUUACACUUCCCUCCUGUGUUCUGGGUCCUCUUGGACCAGUCCUUACUCUGGCUCCCCUCCUGGAUGUCUCCCAGACUUCUAAUUAGAAUUACUGUUUCCUAUAUCAAGCUAAUUAUCUUUCCCACCAACCUCCUCCAUCCUUGGGUGAAAGCAUCACUUGGUUGCAAAAGUCAGAAAUCUGGGUUUCAUUCUUGCGGUAGGUAGAAUAAUGCCCCCAGGCCCCAGGUUUUGACAUCCGAAUCCCUGGGACUUUGCAGAUGUGAUUCAGUUUAGGAUUUUGAGAUGGGGAGAUUAUCUGGGAGAGCCUGAUGUCAUCAUAAGGUUCUUAUAAGAGGGAGGCAGGAGGGUUAGAGUGAGUAGUAAGAGAUGCAACAGUGGAAGCAAGAGGUUGGGGUGAUGUGGCCACAAGCCCAGGAGUGCUGACAGACAUCAGAAGCUGGAAGGGACAAGGAAUGGUUUCUCCUCUGGAGCCUCCAGAAAGAACCAGCCCUGCUGACACCUUGAUUUUAGCCUUGGAAGACUCAUUUUGGACUUCUGACCUUGAACGUUGUAAGAGAAUAAAUUUACAUAUUUUAAACUGG